GGUGACGGUCCUUCUGAUCUCAGAAGCUAAGCAGGGUUGGGCCUGGUUAGUACUUGGAUGGGAGACCACCUAGGACGACCAGGUGCUGUAGGCG
rnacentral:rRNA from 1 species